CCCAAGAGAUCGGGAUAGCACCUGGAAACAGAUGCUAAUACCGGAUAACAACAGAUGAUGCCUAUCAACUGUUUAAAAGAUGGUUCUGCUAUCACUCUUGGAUGGACCUGCGGUGCAUUAGCUAGUUGGUAGGGUAACGGCCUACCAAGGCGAUGAUGCAUAGCCGAGUUGAGAGACUGAUCGGCCACAUUGGGACUGAGACACGGCCCAAACUCCUACGGGAGGCAGCAGCA
rnacentral:rRNA from 1 species